GUGUGUGUGUGUGUGUGUGUGAGUCCCGGGGGCUGGAGCUCAGGAUGGCGGCGGUCGAUGCUGCUGCUGCUGCUGCUGCUGAGGCCGAGUCGUCGGACAGUGAACCGGAGCAGGAGCACGGUUCCCCGCAGAAACUCAUUCGGAAAGUCUCCACGUCCGGUCAGAUCCGGAGCAAGACGAUUUUAAAAGAGGGAAAGUUAAUGAAACAGACGAACUUUCAGCGCUGGAAGAGACGAUAUUUUAAACUGCGGGGAAGAACACUGUACUACGCUCAGACGGCCAAGUCAAUUAUUUUUGAUGAAGUGGAUCUGACAGACGCCAGUGUAGCGGAAUCCAGUACGAAGAACAUCAACAACAGCUUCACUGUGAGUCACACACACACACACACAC